UAAAGCGGCGCACGGGUGAGUAACACGUGGAUAAUCUACCCUAUGGUGGGGAAUAACCCUGGGAAACUGGGGCUAAUACCGCAUAAGUUCGAGAGAAGAAAGCCGCAAGGCGCCAUUGGAGGAGUCCGCGGCCGAUUAGCUAGUUGGUGAGGUAAAAGCUCACCAAGGCGACGAUCGGUAGCCGGCCUGAGAGGGCACACGGCCACACUGGCACUGAAACACGGGCCAG
rnacentral:rRNA from 1 species